UCAGAUAAAUUUUGAUAUUUAAGAAGCAUCCAGAUUUCUCUUCGACAUAAACAGACCUACACUGUUCACGAUGAUCAAAAGAAAUCGCACACAGGCUCUCCUCCUUGCAGUUUUCGUACUGAAUGCGUUCUUUUGCUCUUUCGCAAAAGUUAGUGGACUUACAAUCAAGCCGUAUGAAUGGAACGACGAAGGCACACCAUUGUCAAAAGUUAGUCCCAAGAAGUCACCAAGACCAAUAACCACAACAUCCAGAAAAACAAGGAAUGAAGAAUCUGAUAAGUGUGGUCCAGAGAACUGUCAACAUGGAAAAUUCUAUGUAGAUACAUGUGACAAGAAUGGUUUCUAUCAAUGUGUAUGGGGGAGACCUGCGAAACAACAUUGUGGUAAGGGUCUUGUAUGGAACCCAGCAGGAUAUUGUGACUACGCAUAACAGUUAUUCAAGAAUUUGACUUUGGAAUAUUAGAUUGAGACCAAUGAUUAAUUAUAAGUUGUAACCAAAGCACGAGUAACUAUAUUUACAGAUGCAUUCAAUUUGUUCGUUUUU